UAGUAACGGCGAGUGAAGAGGAAAGAGCUCAAAGUUGGAACCUGUUUGGCUUAGCUAAACCGGAUUGUAAACUGUAGAAGUGUUUUCCAGACACGCCUGGUAAAAAAGUCCUUUGGAACAGGGCAUCAUAGAGGGUGAGAAUCCCGUCAUUGGCCAGAGCUGUUGUCUUUUGUGAUACAUUUUCAAAGAGUCAGGUUGUUUGGGAAUGCAGCCUAAAUUGGGUGGUAAAUCUCACCUAAAGCUAAAUAUUUGCGAGAGACCGAUAGCGAACAAGUACCGUGAGGGAAAGAUGAAAAGAACUUUGAAAAGAGAGUUAAACAGUAUGUGAAAUUGUUAAAAGGGAACCGUUUGGAGCCAGACUGGCUUGAUCGUAAUCACUCUAGGCUUUGGCCUGGAUGCACUUGCGGUCUAUGCCGGCCAACGACAGUUUUGUUUGAGGGAAAAAAUUACAUUGAAUGUGGCCCCUCGGGGUGUUAUAGCUUUGUAAAAAAUACCUUGGACGGGACUGAGGAACGCAGCGAAUGCCUUUAGGCGAGAUUGCUGGGUGCUUGCGCUGAUACAUGCUAGAAUUUCUGCUUUGGGUGGUGCUAGUGUGUAAAGGAGUAACCCGCUUAGUAUAUUUUUUAUUCGCUUAGGUUGUUGGCUUAAUGACUCUAAAUGACCCGUCUUGAAACACGGACCAAGGAGUCCACCAUUAGUGCAAGUAUUUGGGUGACAAACCCAUAUGCGCAAGGAAACUGAUUGAUACGAAGGCGCAAGCUGGCAGUAUCACCCGGCGUUGACGUUUUAUACUGAACUGACCGAGGUAAAGCACUAAUGAUGGGACCCGAAAGAUGGUGAACUAUGCCUGAAUAGGGUGAAGCCGGAGGAAACUCCGGUGGAGGCUCGUAGCGAUUCUGACGUGCAAAUCGAUCGUCAAAUUUGGGUAUAGGGGCGAAAGAC
rnacentral:rRNA from 1 species